GCCGGUGCGGGAUGAAGGCUUCGGGUUGUAAACCGCUGUCGUAGAGGAGGAAAUGCAGGUGGGUUCUCCCCUCUGUUUGACCUAUUCUAGGAGGAAGGACGGGCUAAGUUCGUGCCAGCAGCCGCGGUAAGACGAACCGUCCAAACGUUACUCGGAAUUACUGGGCUUAAAGGGUGCGUAGGCUGCGCGGAAAGUCGGGUGUGAAAGCCCUCAGCUCAACUGGGGAAUUGCAUUCGAAACUGCCGUGCUCGAGGGAGACAGAGGUAAGCGGAACUCAAGGUGGAGCGGUGAAAUGCGUUGAUAUCUUGAGGAACACCGGUGGCGAAGGCGGCUUACUGGGUCUCUUCUGACGCUGAGGCACGAAAGCCAAGGUAGCAAACGGGAUUAGAUACCCCGGUAGUCUUGGCUGUAAACGAUGAGCACUUGUUUGAAGGGUCCUCCAUAGCCUUUCAGACGUAGCGAAAGUGUUAAGUGCUCCGACUGGGGAGUAUGGUCGCAAGGCUGAAACUCAAAGAAAUUGACGGGGGCUCACACAAGCGGUGGAGGAUGUGGCUUAAUUCGAGGCUACGCGAAGAACCUUAUCCUAGUCUGAGAUGCUUGGAUUAGCCCAUGAAAGUGGGGC
rnacentral:rRNA from 1 species